AAAGAAGAAAGAAGAACAGAGCACUAUCAUCAGGGGUUUCUUUCGGCCUUCAGCUGUUUAGACUGUAGGCCGGCGGAAACUACUUGCUGAUGGUGUUCCUAUCAACCGAACGAAGAA
rnacentral:precursor_RNA from 12 species